GACGGAAGGUGCAAGCGUUGCUCGGAAUCACUGGGCGUAAAGGGUGCGUAGGCGGCUUGGUAAGUUGGGUGUGAAAGCCCCGGGCUCAGCCCGGGAAGGGCACUCGAAACUGCCGUGCUGGAGUGCCGGAGGGGAGAGGGGAAUUCCUGGUGUAGCGGUGAAAUGCGUAGAUAUCAGGAGGAAUACCGGUGGCGAACGCGACUCUCUGGACGGCAACUGACACUCAAGCACGAAAGCGUGGGGAGCAAACAGG
rnacentral:rRNA from 1 species